CACGCCUAACACAUGCAAGUCGAACGCAGUAGCAAUACUGAGUGGCAGACGGGUGAGUAACAUGUGGGAAUCUGCCUUGUGGUUCAGGACAACAUUGGGAAACCGAUGCUAAUACUGGAUAAGCCCUUACGGGGAAAGUUUUAAUGCCAUAAGAUGAGCCCGCAUUUGAUUAGUUAGUUGGUGAGGUAAUGGCUCACCAAGACAAUGAUCAAUAGCUGAUCUGAGAGGAUGAUCAGCCACACUGGGACUGAGACACGGCCCAGACUCCUACGGGAGGCAGCAGUGGGGAAUCUUGCACAAUGGAGGAAACUCUGAUGCAGCGAUGCCGCGUGAGUGAAGAAGGCCUUUGGGUUGUAAAGCUCUUUUGUAGGGGAAGAUAAUGACUGUACCCUAAGAAUAAGGUCCGGCUAACUUCGUGCCAGCAGCCGCGGUAAUACGAAGGGACCUAGCGUAGUUCGGAAUUACUGGGCGUAAAGCGCGCGUAGGCCGUUGAGUUAGUUAAUUGUGAAAUCCCAAAGCUUAACUUUGGAACUGCAAUUAAAACUGCUCGACUAGAGUUUGAUAGAGGAAAGCGGAAUACAUAGUGUAGAGGUGAAAUUCGUAGAUAUUAUGUAGAACACCAGUUGCGAAGGCGGCUUUCUGGAUCAACACUGACGCUGAGGCGCGAAAGUAUGGGUAGCAAAGAGGAUUAGAUACCCUCGUAGUCCAUACCAUAAACGAUGAUUGCUAGAUGUUGGAAAUUUAUUUUCAGUAUCGCAGCUAACGCAUUAAGCAAUCCGCCUGGGG
rnacentral:rRNA from 1 species